rnacentral:rRNA from 1 species
AGAGUUUGAUCCUGGCUCAGGAUGAACGCUGGCGGCGUGCCUAAUACAUGCAAGUCGAACGCAUAUCUUCGGAUAUGAGUGGCGAACGGGUGAGUAAUACAUAAGUAACCUGGCCUUAAGAGGGGGAUAACUAUUAGAAAUGAUAGCUAAGACCGCAUAGGUAUGAAGAUCGCAUGAUCGACAUAUUAAAUAUCCCACGGGAUAGCUGAAGGAUGGACUUAUGGCGCAUUAGCUAGUUGGUAGGGUAACGGCCUACCAAGGCGACGAUGCGUAGCCGACCUGAGAGGGUGACCGGCCACACUGGGACUGAGACACGGCCCAGACUCCUACGGGAGGCAGCAGUAGGGAAUUUUCGGCAAUGGGGGAAACCCUGACCGAGCAACGCCGCGUGAAGGAAGAAGUAAUUCGUUAUGUAAACUUCUGUCAUAGAGGAAGAACGGUGGAUAUAGGGAAUGAUAUCCAAGUGACGGUACUCUAUAAGAAAGCCACGGCUAACUACGUGCCAGCAGCCGCGGUAAUACGUAGGUGGCGAGCGUUAUCCGGAAUUAUUGGGCGUAAAGAGGGAGCAGGCGGCGGCAGAGGUCUGUGGUGAAAGACUGAAGCUUAACUUCAGUAAGCCAUAGAAACCGGGCUGCUAGAGUGCAGGAGAGGAUCGUGGAAUUCCAUGUGUAGCGGUGAAAUGCGUAGAUAUAUGGAGGAACACCAGUGGCGAAGGCGACGAUCUGGCGCAUAACUGACGCUCAGUCCCGAAAGCGUGGGGAGCAAAUAGGAUUAGAUACCCUAGUAGUCCACGCCGUAAACGAUGAGUACUAAGUGUUGGGAGUCAAAUCUCAGUGCUGCAGUUAACGCAAUAAGUACUCCGCCUGAGUAGUACGUUCGCAAGAAUGAAACUCAAAGGAAUUGACGGGGGCCCGCACAAGCGGUGGAGCAUGUGGUUUAAUUCGAAGCAACGCGAAGAACCUUACCAGGUCUUGACAUCGAUCUAAAGGCUCCAGAGAUGGAGAGAUAGCUAUAGAGAAGACAGGUGGUGCAUGGUUGUCGUCAGCUCGUGUCGUGAGAUGUUGGGUUAAGUC